rnacentral:rRNA from 1 species
GAUGAACGCUGGCGGCGUGCCUAAUACAUGCAAGUCGAGCGAACGGACGAGAAGCUUGCUUCUCUGAUGUUAGCGGCGGACGGGUGAGUAACACGUGGAUAACCUACCUAUAAGACUGGGAUAACUUCGGGAAACCGUAGCUAAUACCGGAUAAUAUUUUGAACCGCAUGGUUCAAAAGUGAAAGACGGUCUUGCUGUCACUUAUAGAUGGAUCCGCGCUGCAUUAGCUAGUUGGUAAGGUAACGGCUUACCAAGGCAACGAUGCAUAGCCGACCUGAGAGGGUGAUCGGCCACACUGGAACUGAGACACGGUCCAGACUCCUACGGGAGGCAGCAGUAGGUAAUCUUCCGCAAUGGGCGAAAGCCUGACGGAGCAACGCCGCGUGAGUGAUGAAGGUCUUCGGAUCGUAAAACUCUGUUAUUAGGGAAGAACAUAUGUGUAAGUAACUGUGCACAUCUUGACGGUACCUAAUCAGAAAGCCACGGCUAACUACGUG